GACGAACGCUGGCGGCGUGCCUAAUACAUGCAAGUUGAGCGCUGAAGGUUGGUACUUGUACCAACUGGAUGAGCAGCGAACGGGUGAGUAACGCGUGGGGAAUCUGCCUUUGAGCGGGGGACAACAUUUGGAAACGAAUGCUAAUACCGCAUAAAAACUUUAAACACAAGUUUUAAGUUUGAAAGAUGCAAUUGCAUCACUCAAAGAUGAUCCCGCGUUGUAUUAGCUAGUUGGUGAGGUAAAGGCUCACCAAGGCGAUGAUACAUAGCCGACCUGAGAGGGUGAUCGGCCACAUUGGGACUGAGACAUGGCCCAAACUCCUACGGGAGGCAGCAGUAGAGAAUCUUCGGCAAUGGACGAAAGUCUGACCGAGCAACGCCGCGUGAGUGAAGAAGGUUUUCGGAUCGUAAAACUCUGUUGGUAGAGAAGAACGUUGGUGAGAGUGGAAAGCUCAUCAAGUGACGGUAACUACCCAGAAAGGGACGGCUAACUACGUG
rnacentral:rRNA from 1 species